AACGAACGCUGGCGGCGCGCUUAACACAUGCAAGUCGAACGAGAAGCUGUAGCAAUACAGUUGUAAAGUGGCAAACGGGUGAGUAAUGCGUGGGUAAUCUACCCUAGGGUGGGGAAUAACUCCUCGAAAGGGGAGCUAAUGCCGACAUGUGCGCCACUCUCGCAAGGGAGUGAUGGAAAGCCGUACCGUGGGUGCGGCGCCCAAGGAUGAGCUCACGUCCUANCAGCUUGUU
rnacentral:rRNA from 1 species